AAUAGAUACCCCGGUAGUCCACACCGUAAACGUUGGGCGCUAGGUGUGGGACUCAUUCCACGAGUUCCGUGCCGCAGCUAACGCAUUAAGCGCCCCGCCUGGGGAGUACGGCCGCAAGGCUAAAACUCAAAGGAAUUGACGGGGGCCCGCACAAGCGGCGGAGCAUGCGGAUUAAUUCGAUGCAACGCGAAGAACCUUACCUAGGUUUGACAUAUACGAGAAGCCUCUAGAGAUAGAGGUCUCUUUGGACACUUGUAUACAGGUGGUGCAUGGUUGUCGUCAGCUCGUGUCGUGAGAUGUUGGGUUAAGUCCCGCAACGAGCGCAACCCUCGUCUUAUGUUGCCAGCACGUAAUGGUGGGGACUCAUAAGAGACUGCCGGGGUCAACUCGGAGGAAGGUGGGGAUGACGUCAAGUCAUCAUGCCCCUUAUGCCUAGGGCUUCACGCAUGCUACAAUGGCUGGUACAAAGGGCUGCGAUACCGCAAGGUGGAGCGAAUCCCAAAAAGCCAGUCUCAGUUCGGAUUGGGGU
rnacentral:rRNA from 1 species